UCAAGAAACUUCCACAAUGGGCGAAAGCCUGAUGGAGCGACGUCGCGUGAUGGACGAAGUGCUUCGGCACGUAAACAUCUUUUAUGUGGGAUGAAAUUAUUGACAGUACCACAUGAAUAAGGGGCUCCUAACUCUGUGCCAGCAGGAGCGGUAAUACAGAGGCCCCAAGCGUUAUCCGGAAUCACUGGGCGUAAAGGGUGUCGAGGCGGUUGUAUUAGUCGUUCGUAAAAUCUACGAGCUUAACUUGUAGGCGGCGAACGAAACGGUACGACUUGAGGUUUGGAGAGGUGCGUGGAACUCACGGUGUAGGGGUGAAAUCCGUUGAUAUCGUGGGGAACACCAAAGGCGAAGGCAGCGCACUGGCCAAAAUCUGACGCUCACACACGAAAGCUAGGGUAGCGAAGAGGAUUAGAUACCCACGUAGUCCCUGAGCGGGCUGGCAAGGCG
rnacentral:rRNA from 1 species